rnacentral:rRNA from 1 species
AUGAUGUGGAUUAAUUCGAUGCAACGCGAAAACCUUACUACCCUUGACAUGCCAGGAACUUGCCAGAGAUGGCUUGGUGCCCGAAAGGGAGCCUGGACACAGGUGCUGCAUGGCUGUCGUCAGCUCGUGUCGUGAGAUGUUGGGUUAAGUCCCGCAACGAGCGCAACCCUUGUCAUUAGUUGCUACGAAAGGGCACUCUAAUGAGACUGCCGGUGACAAACCGGAGGAAGGUGGGGAUGACGUCAAGUCCUCAUGGCCCUUAUAGGUGGGGCUACACACGUCAUACAAUGGCUGGUACAAAGGGUUGCCAACCCGCGAGGGGGAGCCAAUCCCAUAAAGCCAGUCGUAGUCCGGAUCGCAGUCUGCAACUCGACUGCGUGAAGUCGGAAUCGCUAGUAAUCGUGGAUCAGCAUGUCACGGUGAAUACGUUCCCGGGUCUU